CAGUCGUACCGGCGGAUAAUCAGCCUUUCGGGUGCGAUUCUGUGGGGCGUGAGGAGCUUAACCGCCAUCAUGUUUUGCAUAUUCGUGCACUUUGGGUGUACUUGCCCGUAUGGUUGGUUAACAUCAAUUUCGGGCACCAUAAAAUGGCUGGAGGAAUGUAGCUUCGAUCUUGUAUUGAAGUGUUAUAGCCUUCGGUAGAUGUGGUGAUCGAG
rnacentral:rRNA from 1 species